rnacentral:rRNA from 1 species
GGACAACCUGCCCUCGGGAGGGGGAUAACCCCGGGAAACUGGGGCUAAACCCCCAUAGGUGAUGGAUACUGGAAUGUUCCAUCACCGAAAGUCCGCAAGGAGCCCGAGGAUGGGUCUGCGGCGGAUUAGGUAGUUGGUGGGGUAACGGCCCACCAAGCCUAAGAUCCGUACGGGCCAUGGGAGUGGGAGCCCGGAGAUGGACCCUGAGACAAGGGUCCAGGCCCUACGGGGCGCAGCAGGCGCGAAACCUCCGCAAUGCGGGAAACCGCGACGGGGUCAGCCGGAGUGCCGAUGCUUGCAUCGGCUGUCGGGGAGCCUAAAAAGCUCCCCAUAGCAAGGGCCGGGCAAGGCCGGUGGCAGCCGCCGCGGUAAUACCGGCGGCCCGAGUGGCGGCCACUAUUAUUGGGCUUAAAGCGUCCGUAGCCGGGUUGGUUAGUCUCCCGGGAAAUCUGGCCGCUUAACGGUCAGAAUUCCGGGAGAUACUGCCAGCCUAGGGACCGGGAGAGGCCGAGGGUAUUCCCGGAGUAGGGGUGAAAUCCUAUAAUCCCGGGAGGACCACCUGUGGCGAAGGCGCUCGGCUGGAACGGGUCCGACGGUGAGGGACGAAGGCCAGGGGAGCAAACCGGAUUAGAUACCCGGGUAGUCCUGGCUGUAAACGAUGCGGACUUUGUGUCGGACAAGCUAUGAGCUUGUCCGGUGUCGGAGGGAAACCUGUUA